ACAGUUACGCCCUUCGGAAGCUUCUCGAUUCUCAAAGACAAACACUUGUUGGGCUCCUCUUCUUCUUCCUCCGAUCCGAUACAUGUCUCUUCCGGAGAUUUCUUCGAAGAUAUUAGGGUAGUGAGAAAGCUCGAAGCUUGGAAGUUAGUUUGAUUCAACGCAGGUGAGGCCACGCAAGUUGUUCGACGAAUUGCCUGAACGAAAUAUUCUCGUUGCCUCAUGAGAGCAAUAAUGGAUCUCAUCUCUUCUUCUUUUUUGGGACCUUACUGGCCCGUAACCUUUUAACAUUAACAUAUAAGGCCCGAUAAGAAUAUGGUUGACUUCUUCUCAUAUGAAUAUUUACUUAAAUUGUUUAUGAUUAAUUUAGCUGAUUGAACUUAAAUCCUAAAUAAAAAACGGAGGAGACAUAUACAAAUCUUAGUAGUCACAAAAGUCAAUGUCACAUAAAUAUUUUUUUUACGUUACAUAUGAAAACAUUACACAAUCACACCAUUACCAUACAUAGGAAAAUACAAAGCUGGGAAAAGUCAAAGCUUAAGAGAGUUGAUACGCAACACAACGGUCACGUCUUUAUUCCAACAACACACACACAUCUCUUAGCAUAAAACACAUAUUUUCCCCAAUUUUUCUGCCAUAUAUAUGAUUUUAGACCAUAAUAAUUUCAUCAACAGUUACAGUUUGACCCACAGCUGCAGUUUGAUCCACAGCUACAGUUGUCGCACUCCUUGUUGUAGUUCUUCUCGCAACUUUACCACACACAAAUUAAUCAAACAAACAAAAAA
rnacentral:sRNA from 1 species